GGUACACUGACCCUGAAGGGAAGAGAGGGGAAAAGCUCAAACUUGCACACUGCAAAAAAACUCCUAACAAGGUGUGUGUCCCCCACCCUACAUCUGGAGAUUGACUCAAGCUAAGAUCAAAGUGUUUCCAUGAAUCGUUGUGGUACCUGGACCGUAGUCGUGCCUCCUGCUGUGAGCCGACUGACACCCACUGCUACUUCGAUUAUUAUUAUUAUUAGUCACAUUACUAUCCCUAUUUUCAUGGCUAUAAUUCUACUGUAAUAAUUGCUGCUGUUAUUAUA